rnacentral:rRNA from 1 species
GCCGGAGGCGACCGCUGUGGGAGUCCGAUUAAGCCAUGCGAGUCGAGAGAAUAAGAUUCUCGGCAUACCGCUCAGUAACACGUGGAUAACCUGCCCUGUGCUGGGGGAUAACCUCGCGAAAGUGAGAACAAUGCCCCAUGGGUCACUAUGCCUGGAACGGUUAGUGGCUGAAAGCUCCGGCGGCACAGGAUGGGUCUGCGGCGUAUCAGGUCGUAGGGGGUGUAACGUACCUCCUAGCCUUCGACGCGUACGGGUUGUGAGAGCAAUUGCCCGGAGAUGGAUUCUGAGACACGAAUCCAGGCCCUACGGGGCGCAGCAGGCGCGAAAACUUGACAAUGCGAGAAAUCGUGAUCAGGGGACUCCAGUUGGCUGGAUCAAAAGUCCAGUCUGAACCGACUUUAAAUCGGUCGGGUAAUAGGGGCGGGAAAGACCGGUGCCAGCCGCCGCGGUAAUACCGGCGCCCCAAGUGGUCGUCACUAUUAUUGGGCCUAAAACGUCCGUAGCCGGUUUGGUAAAUCCGUGGGUAAAUCAGACAGCCCAACUGUCUGAAUUCUGCGGGGACUGCCAGACUUGAGACCGGGAGAGGUGCGGGGUACUUGCGGGGUACCGGUAAAAUGGGAUCAUCCCGUAGAGACCACCUGUUGCGAAGGCGCCGCACUAGAACGGAUCUGACGGUCAGGGACGAAGCCUAGGGGCACGAACCGGAUUAGAUACCCGGGUAGUCCUAGGUGUAAACGCUGUGGACUUGGUGUCGGGGACCUUCUGAGGGUUUCCGGUGCCGGAGUGAAGAUGUUAAGUCCACUGCCUGGGGAGUACGGUCGCAAGGCUGAAACUUAAAGGAAUUGGCGGGGGAGCACCGCAACGAGAGGAGCGUGC